AUGCACUCCUCAGACUGCCUGGUGCCGAAUCUUAUAGAACGGCUGCAGCAAAGAAUAUGGUCCAUUAUCUCCAGAGCGACUGCUCUACAGAAACAGCGGGGAGCGGACUCUAACCAGUCUCAGCAUGAAAAGCUCCUUUCGUUCCGGCCACGUACAGAGCUCAAACUCAUGGAAUCAAAUGAAAUCCAAGCAACAGGAUGCUACGCUCCAGGCUCCAGAAGGUGAAGCAGGAAAACCAUUCUCAAUACUUCUGCAGAACGGCGCCGCAUCUUUCGGAACCGUAUAGUCACAGCAGAGGAUCCUGCUAGUUCUCUCUAAUACCUCCGGACCAGUGAAGCGAUGUUCCGGUCCCGUUAAGUUAACUUAACUAAUAAUCGAUUGGCCGCUGUAAGCUCGAAUCAUGUCUCUACAAGGAGAGGUUUGCUAACGAUAAUAUUUUUCCGGUACUUGCUGUUAAUGAACCCGGUGCGGCUGGGUUAUGGAUACCUGGUGAUGUGUAUUCUCUGUUCAUAGGUUUGCUCUCCAAUAUUUUCAGAAUGAUAUCAGUACGAUAUCGAUGGUAAU